AUGCUGCCGGCUGGCGUCAAGUUCGAUCCCACGGAUCAGGAGCUGAUCGAGCACUUUGAGGCCAAAACCUGUACUGCAGGUAUCACACUGAGUGGCCUAAGGAAGCAUUUCUUCCAUCCCAAUUCCAGGGCGUUCAAAAGGGGCACGUGGACGCGUCACAAGAUACAGUCGGAGUGCGGCACGCACGCGAUGUGGCACAAGACCGGCAAUACCUUGCCUGUGAUGAGGAUCAACUGGGUGAUGCACCAAUACCACAUCAGGGACCUGGAGCAAGAGAAGGAGCAGGACCUGGUCCUCUGCAAGAUUUUCUACCAGACGAACACUAGGGCCAGGAGUAGUUUGGUAUUGGUAGUUGUACUACCUUGUCGUCCUCAAGUUGGUAUUGUUGUUAAAGAUCUUUUGGCCCAGCCCAUGACGACAACGGGGCACAAAGAUCCAGCAGGUAUCUACUGGCCUCUAGCCCACCAGCGUUAG
rnacentral:rRNA from 1 species